AUUUACUGUCGAAUUUGAACCACUGAAUUUGUGGAAGCGAAUUUGUAAAGCGAAAUAAAAUGGACUGAAACUUGCCUGUUGAAUAUUAUAGGUUGUAUUUUUAAAUAGAUCGAAUAUUUUGGAAGUGAAAUCUGAAAGCCCAUAAUUAUGCAAGACUUGUAUAAUUGUACAUGUUGAAAUGUACAAGAGACUGUUGUCCACAAGACCAUCGAAGCAGACGGGAAGUAGCUGUGGUCAUGUACUAGGGCAGGAAUGUCAGCAAACGUGGAUGGAAGAUCUUCUCCUCAUAUCUGACAGGUUUGAAGAGGUGUUGAGGACAGAUGGAAUGAUGACCUGGAGGAUACAGCACUCAGGAAAACCAGCUCCUGAACACAGAUCAAUUGUAAGAAGUCCACAUCCACAGACAUCUGUGAAAGAGCGUGCUCCAAACGUGACUGAAGUCUCCCUCAUAUCUGCUCUAGAAGUAUCUG